GCAGAUUGGAACGAUUAAUAAGUAUGUACGAUCAAAGGAUUCGCUGCAGCAUUUCUAAUCCGCUGCAAGUUUUGUGUGCAAAAAAUUGUCCUAAUAUAUGAAUUACAUAUUAAAAUGGUGGAAAAUAAUUAUAAGAGAAAUUAUUGCAUUUCACAGCAAAAGGAGAGGAGAGAAAAUUUAUCGUAAAUCCAAUAAUAUUUCAAAAUAUUUCUUUAAAUUUUAAUUUCAAAACUCUGCUGGAUCCUGCAAUCUAUUCCGGAUUAACGGAACAUUCGGCAAAAAAGUACUAAAGCGUCAAAGGAGAAUAUAAUUCUGGAAGAUUAUUUCGCGAGACGAUGAGAUUUUUCGGUACAAUAAUCUCCCGCACACCCACGGAGCUGGGGCAAUGGGGCCUAUAUAACAUAAUUACAAUGUACCGUAAGCCAGACGACCAAAGCCUUCACGCAUGGUAGACCGAAGCGCAUACAGGACGUGGAGAACGGGUCUCGCGUAUGUAUCGAUUUGUGGUUCUCUACGAAGCGUCAAUAUUUCUCCCAUCGAGCAUCCCACGAGUCGUUCUUUGAAAUCAGA